CGAAGGAAAAUAAUAAAACAGAUUGAAUACAACAGAUGUUUAUACAGAUCAGGUCUGAACAUUUUGCAUAUUAUUUCUAUUACAUAUGUAUAAGCUUACAACAAUAAAACAAACAUGUGAAAAAAAUCUCUGCACCUGAUUUAGCUACUUCUUUUGCUCCUUAAGACUGGCACCAUUCUUCUAAUGUAGGAGUCGCCACACCCACAUUUUUCAUGUCAAAUAUGUUCGCAAUGUGUAUAUCAGGAGUAGCAGCAGCUGUGGCAUCUAUAAUGACCGUCACGCGUUGAUAGUCCAAUGCUACAGCAUCAAAG
rnacentral:misc_RNA from 1 species